AAGUCGUAACAAGGUCUCCGUUGGUGAACCAGCGGAGGGAUCAUUACCGAGUUGCACAACUCCCAAACCCCUGCGAACGUACCUCUCGUUGCUUCGGCGGGACGCCCAGGCGCCCGCCGGGGGACCCAAACUCACGUCUUCGCUCCGGCGGAAUCUCCCCUCCGGGUGUCACGACACAAACGAGUCAAAACUUUCAACAACGGAUCUCUUGGCUCUG
rnacentral:misc_RNA from 1 species